GAUGAACGCUGGCGGCGUGCCUAAUACAUGCAAGUCGAGCGAACAGAUGAGGAGCUUGCUCCUCUGACGUUAGCGGCGGACGGGUGAGUAACACGUGGAUAACCUACCUAUAAUACUGGGAUAACUUCGGGAAAACGGAGCUAAUACCGGAUAAUAUAUUGAACCGCAUAGUUCAAUAGUGAAAGACGGUUUUGCUGUCACUUAUAGAUGGAUCCGCGCCGCAUUAGCUAGUUGGUAAGGUAACGGCUUACCAAGGCAACGAUGCGUAGCCGACCUGAGAGGGUGAUCGGCCACACUGGAACUGAGACACGGUCCAGACUCCUACGGGAGGCAGCAGUAGGGAAUCUUCCGCAAUGGGCGAAAGCCUGACGGAGCAACGCCGCGUGAGUGAUGAAGGUCUUCGGAUCGUAAAACUCUGUUAUUAGGGAAGAACAAAUGUGUAAGUAACUAUGCACGUCUUGACGGUACCUAAUCAGAAAGCCACGGCUAACUACGUG
rnacentral:rRNA from 1 species